rnacentral:rRNA from 1 species
GACGAACGCUGGCGGCGUGCCUAAUACAUGCAAGUAGAACGCUGAAGGAGGAGCUUGCUCUUCUGGAUGAGUUGCGAACGGGUGAGUAACGCGUAGGUAACCUGCCUGGUAGCGGGGGAUAACUAUUGGAAACGAUAGCUAAUACCGCAUAACAGUAGAUGUUGCAUGACAUUUGCUUAAAAGGUGCAAUUGCAUCACUACCAGAUGGACCUGCGUUGUAUUAGCUAGUUGGUGGGGUAACGGCUCACCAAGGCGACGAUACAUAGCCGACCGGAGAGGGGGAUCGGCCAGACUGGGACGGAGACACGGCCCAGAGUGCUUCGGGAGGCAGCAGUAGGGAAUCGUCGGCAAUGGACGGAAGUCUGACCGAGCAACGCCGCGGGAGUGAAGAAGGUUGUCGGAUCGUAAAGCUCUGUUGUAAGGGAAGAACGAGUGUGAGAGUGGAAAGUUCACUCUGUGACGGUAACUGACCAGAAAGGGACGGCUAACUACGUG